rnacentral:rRNA from 1 species
CUUUUGCAUAUUAAGUAUAAGAGGCCCUGCCUGCCCAGUGACAUUAGUUUAACGGCCGCGGUAUCAUGACCGUGCAAAGGUAGCGUAAUCACCUGUCUUUUAAUUUAAGACCUGUAUGAAUGGCAAAACGAGAGUCUAACUGUCUCUUUAAAUCAAUCAGUGAAACUAAUCUUCCCGUGCAGAAGCGGGAAUAAAAACAU